UAGUGUAGCUCUAGCAGAUCCAGGGAUAAUGAUGUAUGACCUUGUAACUUCAGUUUCAGUGGUGCUGCAUUGUCCUUUUCAAUGUUUGUUGUUGGUCUGCUGCUUUCAUCUAAUCCUGAUGCCACGGGAGACCUGGUGCAGGUUCCAAGCAUGUUGUUUCAAGGUUCUUUGCUUCUUGGGCUCAUCAGUAGAGCCACUCUUGGUUAUGCAAUGAGUGGUUUGCUUGAUUGGAGAGUAAUAGAUGGCACGUGAGGUGGAAAGCCCCUCUGUUUUGACUCAAUCCUCAUUUCAGAUGCCCAUUCCUCUCUUCUCGACACCGUUCGGUAUUGAAAAUUACCAAGUUUUAAUAUUUAUAUUGGCUCUCUUUAUAAACUCAGUAUGUUUUGAAUUUGUGUAUGAGUUUUUAUGAAGCUUGAAUUUGUGUUUUCCUUUCUAUUUGAAUUGGAAAAUAAUUUUCAACAUGGCAAGCAAGUUUGUUUAAAACUGUACUACUACAGGUGUGUACAUGAUGUAAUUGUUUCUUCAUUUCCUUUGUGUCUUGUUCUUCAAAUAGUUUUAAAUAUAUGUGUUUACUUUCUUUACUUCAGUAGGUAGGAUCAUUUAUAAUUUUUUUUAAUUUUCUUUUUGUUCCUUUUUUGAGGAUAUGCUCUUGUUGCUCUUCUCUUAUUACUUUGUGUGUGUUUCAAUCAUAAAAAUAUUGUUUUGUCUUUGAAAAAACUAGUAUAAAUAUUGCUGCUCUUCUCUUAUGCCCGCAUUAGAUUUUGAAAUAUCUGAAAGGGUAUGUACCAACUAUGUCCUGAACCUUUAUAUUGGUGUUUGCAGAUAACAAGGGAUACUAGUGGAGUUCCUAAGGUUCUUACAAGGUUAGAUGCACCCUCAUCACCCUUGGCUGACACCAUGACAUAAUAUGAGAGCUAGAGAUCCUUUUGUCUGUGAAAUGAGAAUUUAAAUUUUUCAUGUUUCUUAAAUUUGUUAUUCUAUUUUAUUACUUCUCUUACUUUUAUUUUUGUUAUAAUAUUAUGCUAACUUCAGACACAAUUUAAGUGUUAGAAUACUGAAUUUAUUGUAUGUGAAACUCAAGCA